GACGAACGCUGGCGGCGUGCUUAACACAUGCAAGUCGAGCGGUAAGGCCCUUUCGGGGGUACGACGAGCGGCGAACGGGUAGGAGUAACAACGUGGGUGGACCUCGCCCUCCAGCUCUGGGAGUAAGACCCGGGAAACCGUAGGGUCGUAAUACCGGAUAUGACUCCAUGACGCAUGUUGUGGGGUGGGAAAGCCUUGUGCGGCUGAGGAUGGGCCCGGCGGCCUAUCAGCUUGUUGGUGGGGUGAUGGCCACCAAGGCGACGACGGGUAGCCGGCCUGAGAGGGCGACCGGCCACACUGGGACUGAGAUACGGCCCAGACUCCUACGGGAGGCAGCAGUGGGGAAUCUUGCGCAAUGGGCGAAAGCCUGACGCAGCGACGCCGCGUGAGGGAUGACGGCCUGUGUAAC
rnacentral:rRNA from 1 species